UCUAGUAUGGCAGAAAAGUGCAUCAGAUUUAAGCUCUGAAUAUGAUAGCGAAAAUCUUUCUAUUAGAA
rnacentral:tRNA from 1 species